GAGUUUGAUCAUGGCUCAGGAUGAACGCCGGCGGUGUGCCUAAUACAUGCAAGUCGAGCGCACUGGCCCAACUGAUAUGACGUGCUUGCACUGAUUUGACGAUGGAUUACCAGUGAGCGGCGGACGGGUGAGUAACACGUGGGCAACCUGCCCUGGAGCGGGGGAUAACAUCUGGAAACAGGUGCUAAUACCGCAUGACUACUAAAACCACAUGGUUUUAGUAUAAAAGAAGGCUUCGGCUUUCACUCUAGGAUGGGCCCGCGGUGCAUUAGCUAGUUGGUAAGGUAACGGCUUACCAAGGCGAUGAUGCAUAGCCGAGUUGAGAGACUGAUCGGCCACAAUGGAACUGAGACACGGUCCAUACUCCUACGGGAGGCAGCAGUAGGGAAUCUUCCACAAUGGGCGCAAGCCUGAUGGAGCAACACCGCGUGAGUGAAGAAGGGUUUCGGCUCGUAAAG
rnacentral:rRNA from 1 species